rnacentral:rRNA from 1 species
AGAGUUUGAUCAUGGCUCAGGAUGAACGCUGGCGGCGUGCUUAACACAUGCAAGUCGAACGAAGCGCUAUUGCUUGAUUCUUCGGAUGAAGGCGAUGGUGACUUAGUGGCGGACGGGUGAGUAACGCGUGGGUAACCUGCCCUGUACAGGGGGACAACAGCUGGAAACGGCUGCUAAUACCGCAUAAGCGCACAGCACCGCAUGGUGCAGUGUGGAAAACUCCGGUGGUACAGGAUGGGCCCGCGUUGGAUUAGGUAGUUGGUGGGGUAAAGGCCUACCAAGCCGACGAUCCAUAGCCGACCUGAGAGGGUGGCCGGCCACAUUGGGACUGAGACACGGCCCAAACUCCUACGGGAGGCAGCAGUGGGGAAUAUUGCACAAUGGGCGGAAGCCUGAUGCAGCGACGCCGCGUGAGCGAAGAAGUAUUUCGGUAUGUAAAGCUCUAUCAGCAGGGAAGAAAAUGACGGUACCUGACUAAGAAGCUCCGGCUAAAUACGUGCCAGCAGCCGCGGUAAUACGUAUGGAGCAAGCGUUAUCCGGAUUUACUGGGUGUAAAGGGAGCGUAGACGGACUGGCAAGUCUGGUGUGAAAGGCUGGGGCUCAACCCCGGGACUGCAUUGGAAACUGCCUGUCUUGAGUGCCGGAGAGGUAAGCGGAAUUCCUAGUGUAGCGGUGAAAUGCGUAGAUAUUAGGAGGAACACCAGUGGCGAAGGCGGCUUACUGGACGGUAACUGACGUUGAGGCUCGAAAGCGUGGGGAGCAAACAGGAUUAGAUACCCUGGUAGUCC